UACGAAGGGGGCUAGCGUUGCUCGGAAUCACUGGGCGUAAAGCGCACGUAGGCGGAUCGCUAAGUCAGGGGUGAAAUCCUGGAGCUCAACUCCAGAACUGCCUUUGAUACUGGCAAUCUCGAGUCCGGGAGAGGUGAGUGGAACUGCGAGUGUAGAGGUGAAAUUCGUAGAUAUUCGCAAGAACACCAGUGGCGAAGGCGGCUCACUGGCCCGGUACUGACGCUGAGGAGCGAAAGCGUGGGGAGCAAACAGG
rnacentral:rRNA from 1 species